rnacentral:tRNA from 1 species
CGGGAAAUAGCUCAGCUUGGUAGAGCACCUGGUUUGGGACCAGGAGGUCGCAGGUUCGAAUCCUGUUUUCCCGA